rnacentral:rRNA from 1 species
CCGGUUAGGUUACGUCGGGUCGGGUAGGUACGACGGACGGACGUUACUUACGUAAAAGAAAACGAAACAACUAACAACGACGAAACGAAAAGGAAACGUUACGGACGGAAAGGAAGAACGGAAGGAACCGACCGUACGGUCGUCGUACUAGUUGUAGGUAGAGGAGGACGCACGAGUGUGGAGGAGAAAGAACACACACACACACACACACACACACACACACACACACACGGCCCAGACUCCUACGGGAGGCAGCAGUAGGGAAUCUUCGGCAAUGGGGGCAACCCUGACCGAGCAACGCCGCGUGAGUGAAGAAGGUUUUCGGAUCGUAAAGCUCUGUUGUUGGUGAAGAAGGAUAGAGGUAGUAACUGGCCUUUAUUUGACGGUAAUCAACCAGAAAGUCACGGCUAACUACGUGCCAGCAGCCGCGGUAAUACGUAGGUGGCAAGCGUUGUCCGGAUUUAUUGGGCGUAAAGCGAGCGCAGGCGGAAGAAUAAGUCUGAUGUGAAAGCCCUCGGCUUAACCGAGGAACUGCAUCGGAAACUGUUUUUCUUGAGUGCAGAAGAGGAGAGUCGGAAUUCCAUGUGUAGC